UACGUAGGCAGCGAGCGUUGUUCGGAGUUACUGGGCGUAAAGGGUGUGUAGGCGGUUGUUUAAGUUUGGUGUGAAAUCUCCCGGCUCAACUGGGAGGGUGCGCCGAAUACUGAAUGACUUGGAGUGCGGGAGAGGUGAGUGGAAUUCCUGGUGUAGCGGUGAAAUGCGUAGAUAUCAGGAAGAACACCCGUGGCGAAAGCGGCUCUCUGGAACGGUACUGACGCUGAGACGCGAAAGCGUGGGGAGCGAACAGG
rnacentral:rRNA from 1 species